GACGAACGCUGGCGGCGUGCUUAACACAUGCAAGUCGAACGAAGUGGCGCACGGGUGAGUAACGCGUAAUCAACCUGCCCUUCAGAGGGGGACAACAGUUGGAAACGACUGCUAAUACCGCAUACUGAUGGUGGGGUUUGCGUCUGAUUAGCUAGUUGGAGGGGUAACGUCCCACCAAGGCGAUGACCAGUAUCCGGUCUGAGACGAUGACCGGCCACAGCGGGACUGAGACACGGCCCAGACUCCUACGGGAGGCAGCAGUGGGGAAUCUUCCGCAAUGGACGAAAGUCUGACGGAGCAACGCCGCGUGAGUGAUGACGGCCUUCGGGUUGUAAAGCUCUGUUAAUCGGGACGCGGUACCGGAAUAGAAAGCCACGGCUAACUACGUGCCAGCAGCCGCGGUAAUAC
rnacentral:rRNA from 1 species